GGGGUGUUUGGAUACCAAGGGCUAAACUUUAGCCCUGUCACGUCGGAUGUUCGGAUGCUAAUUAGGAGGAUUAAACAUGAGCUAAUUACAAAACUAAUAGCAGAACCCCUAGGCUAAAUCACGAGACGAAUCUAUUAAGCCUAGUUAAUCCAUCAUUAGCGAAUGGUUACUGUAGCACCACAUUGUUAAAUCAUGGACUAAUUAGGCUUAAUAGAUUCGUCUCACGAUUUAGCCUAGGGGUUGUGCAAUUAGUUUUGUAAUUAAACUACGUUUAAUACUCCUAAUUAGUAUCCAAACAUACGAUGUGACAGGGGCUAAAAUUUAGCCCCUGUCUUCCAAACAC
rnacentral:lncRNA from 1 species